rnacentral:lncRNA from 1 species
GAAGUAGCUGGCGAGGUAUACCACCUGAGGCUCUGCCUGUUGGGAGGAUUUCUAUUUACUGCUGUCUUUCAAGGUGUUCUCUGAGUAAGGUAGCAGCAUUCACUUUUGGCUCGCAUCCACAAGCUCAGCCUUUUUUUUUUUUCCCUCCAUCACUUGGUUAUAAGGGACUCUCAUGCAGCCACAGGUGUGAGCUGAGAGAAGAUGUGGCCAGACAGUGGGGGGUGACAUGGGAGUCCAAGUCACCUGCUUGUGUGGCUUCCUUGUUCCUUCUGGCCUUGCUUGUGACCUAUCCUGGAUGUGCUAUUUCCAUCUUACAAUGGACUGUGGCUGAUCCACCUGACUUUAUGACUUGCCUGCACUACCAGGCAAUUACUUUUCAGGAGUGGUGGGAAGCCAAACAAAUUCUGAACAUCCUUAUCUGGAACCUGUUUCAUGCAGAGAAGGCCUGCUUGUAAACACAACAGGACGUACAAGCUGAUGAGGAGAAGGCUAUCUUUUUGAACGUUGCCCCUGGGGGACUGGGAGGUCUGCUAGCCCUGGCUCCUCGGGCAAGACCACAACCCUCUAACUGGGCCUCACUUUCUGCUUUGGCUGAGCUGGGAACGGCCAGCAAGGGAGGAGUCGCGGGUGAGGGAGCACAUUGGCCUCCACCUUGGCAAUGCUGCUGUCCCCAAGGGAAAUGUUCCAGGGAAUGUCCUCAGCACCACAGAGAACUGAAAUCCUGGAGAAAACUGGCCUAAGGAGCUCAGAAAGGCCAAUAAAACUGGGGCAUUUGGGGAAGAAGAGGAAAUGGAAUGGCAUUAUUGGAUGAUUUAAAUGUGGUGUGUUGCUAUGGUUCCCAGCCUUCUUGAAAGUCACAGACAUGGUGUAUGGGCUGAAUUGUGUCUUCCCAAAACUCACAUGUUGAGUACAGUACUACAAAAUAUAUUUGAAGAGAUUUGAGUUACAGCACUACACAUUUGAGUUACAGUACUACAAAAUGUAUUUGAAGACGGAGCCUUUGAAGGGGUAAUUGAGUUAAAAUGAGGUCAUAAGGUGGUCCCUAAUCCAAGGCGAUUGGUGUCCUUAUAAAGAGAGAAGAUACCAUAGAAGGAAGACCCUGCGAAGAUAAAGGGAAGAGACAACCAUCUGCAAGCAGAGGAGAGAGGCUUCAAAAGAAACCAACUCUGCCAGCACCUUGAUCUUGGACUUCUAACAUCUAGAACCAUGAGAAAAUAAAUUUCUGCUGUUUAAGCCACCCAGUCUAUUGUAUUAAUACUUUGUUACGGCAGUCCAAGUUGAGUAAUGUACAAGGUGACCCUGCAAUUCCCUAGAUUUGGAGUGCUUGGCUUUUGUUUGUAGCUCAAAGCCUGUCUCUUUUACAGGUAGCUCUCAGAAGACAAGUGAGGGGACACGCAGAAAGGGAGGUCCUUCUUCCCCCACUACAAUCCCUGAGCAUGGAUGGAGAUGGGAGGGCUGGGAUCCUCAGUUCUGUGAGAAAAAUACAAAGGACCAUAAGCCCUGGUGAGAAGGGAGAGUCUCCCUGAGGCACUAGUAAGGAAGUGACCUGGACCUGGACCUCCCACUCCAGGACAUUUUAACCAGCCCUGUGUCAACAGAGCAUGCGCAACCCAGAGGACAUUUUCUUUGAGCCCCACUUUACAGUCUCAUUUACCUGGAGCCUGGCUGGGCUCCAUCAGCCCCCAUUCAGUUAAGAAACUGCCAAAGGAGCAGUUUAUCCAUAUGCCUGCAGGAUAUUAAGGGAAAUGAAUUUUGUGUUCUGGCUGAGAGGGCCUCAGUGGACACUUCCAAAAGGAACCCUGAUUCACAGUAUUUGAUACUUGGUUAUUGGCUUUGGUAGAGCUUGGUUUUGUGUUCUGUCUUCUGAGAGGCAGGUACUGGACACCAGAAGCAGCAGGAUAAUGGCCCUGAAGGAGUCCUGACUGCAACCCCCUGACCACCACCACCGGAGAAUUUGCUCCAGCUUUACUCUCUUCUGAUUUUCCAGAAAUCUGGCAUUUUAAAUAGCUAUUUUGUGUUGGCCUCUUUUCUUCCUUUCUAAAAAGUAUGUUUUAAUUAAAUGUUCUUUGGUUGCUGGCUAAGCUAACCCCAAAGGUUGGUGUCCCUGGUGUGGGCGGGAGAGGUUGAGUUCACACUGCCUUUCAAAGCAGUGCCAGUCCCUUCUGCCCUCUGCGAAGCCCACGUGAAGGGAAGACAAUGGGUUACUGUGGGCCACAGAGCCAUGUCCCCUCACACUGCUCUCCCCUCAGGGCUGCCAGGUGUGGUUGGGGCCUGAGACAAGCUUCUCGCCUCAUCAUUCCUUUCGAGGCAACACUUAAAACAGAGAGGGCUUCAGAAGGAAACAGCACAACCAGCGUCUCAGCACAUGCGGCAAUUCAGAGAGGAAGUACGUUCUAGAACAAAAAUUAAACCCUAAACCUAUAGGUACCAGCUCCAUCCUGCCAUAAAUGCAUCAUACGCUUGGAACUUCCAACACAACCCCGAGAAUGCUGCUCGCUCCCACGAGCUGACGGCAGGCCUGGCCCUCCGCCAGGGAGUUCACUUGCAAAGCUGGAAACUCCCUAACUUAAAACAAUGUCUGGGUGUUUUCUGCUUCAUAGGGGCUCAGAAGGAAGGUAAAAAGCUCAGUAAAUUUGUUGUUUGACAUCUCACUCUGAGUACUGUGUGUUUCAUCUGCCUUCACUCUCACAAUUAUUAUCAACUUGCUGGCUAUAAAAGGCAGGGGCUACAAACUCAGUGAGCCAAAUGCAGUGCUUGCUUCCUAUCUGUGGUCCAUUGCAUAGCAGUGUGCUUGGGUGCUGCGUAAGACAAUUCCCCCCAACGCCUCCAAAAAAUAGGACAUGGUCCACUGCAGGAGUUCAUAAUCUAGGAGUCCAGAGAGUCCAGGCUCAUCAUCCCUUCAGAGCUGCUUGACAGGGUUGUCUGGGGAAUACAACCUUACCCUGUCAAAUGCCUUUCAAUGUUUUUCUUCUCCUUCCUUACCCCCGUUUCAUCGUGUACCUGCAAUGGGACUCUAUUUCUGAUAUUAGAAAACCACCCAAUGGAACUGAUAAAAAUGAGUUGGAACUUGUGACCAGCAGCUGGAUGAGAGGAGUGUGAAUCCCCCAAAUCUUAUGGAUAUAGUGUGCUUUCUUUGAUGUUCCUGCCAAAGUGAGGCUGGAAAGCUAGGAAGAUCUGUAAGACGUGUGCCAGCACAAAGUGACUACAAUUCAAAAGUUCCAAAAACCUUGCUUGAAACAAUUGCAAAUAGCUCAUCAUUUUAAACCAGUGAACCCAAGGCUGAGUGUUUCAUCAAUUUACAGAAAACCAAGAAGAGAAAUCUGACAGCUAUCCCAGUGUAUGACUUACCAUGGAGAUCUUCAAAUAGAAUCACUUUGGUUUGGGUCUCAUUUUCAUAUUAUAACACAAAUUUGUGUAUGUGGGUUAAGAUUCAUAUUUGAUAGGAACUGCUGGGAAUUCUUGCAGUUAUAUCCUCAAAAGACAAAAUAAGCAUAACCAACAGAAUUGUGAAGCAAUAAAGUUGAUUAUGGAUGAAAACUGGGCUGAACAGUCAUAGGACAUGACUUGUUCCUUUGACCUAAAAUGUGCUUUUCUUUCCUUAUCUACCCAGUGUAAUGGUACUACUCUUUCAACCAUCUUGAAUUCACUCACACUUAUUCGUCAAAUCCUGCUCAGCUAUUCCCACUACCCACAAAGUGUACCUUUUUCGUAUUCCUUACUUUUUAUACAUUAGCUCAUUUUCCCCCAAACAAUGCAAUAAAGUAAAAAAUAUUACUCUAUUUUAUAGAAACUUGCAGCUCAGAAAGGAUAAGAAACUUGCAAGUUGAUCCAAAAUAAAUUUCUAAAAAGCAUCAAAAGGUUUCAUUUCUGCAUAAUAUUAAGGACUAAAUUAUAGGAAAACUCUCUCCCUAUAAAACACUGUAAAAUGCUGGAUAAAACGUAGCAUCCCUUAUAAAAUGAAAAAACAAUUAGCCCACUAGCACUGGAAGUCAUCAAGAAAAUUGUUCUGUCUCAACAGAUGCAGGGGGGCAGUUUGAGGUUUUUCUACUACUUUCCUAGUCCUGGAACCUAUUAAGAUGAGAAAGUAACAUGAAAGUGAUCCUGAAAAAAUAAACCAAAACCUGGCUAUUUCAAUAAAUAAAUUGUAAGGGGGAGAGAGACAGAGACAGAGAGAGAGAGACACAGAGAGAGAGAAUAGAAAGGAGAGACAAAGGGUAAAUUUUUGAGUAAAGGAAAUGUUAGAAAUAUAUGAGUCAACUGCAGUGUAUAGAUCUUAUUGAGAUCCUGAUUUUGACAAAUCUAGGAGGAACUAUUAAUGAGUUAAUCAUGGAUAUUUAAACAGUGGUUUGAUUCUAUUAAGAAAUUAACUUGUUAGGUGUAUUAUUAGUAUAUUGAUUAUUUUUUAGUCUUCAUCUUUCGACUUACAUAGCAAAAUAUUUAUAAAUAAAAUGAUAUAAAGUCUGGGAUUUAGUGCAAAAUAAUCCACUGUGUAGUGUGUGUAGUGUGUGGGUGUGGAGGAAAUAUAGGAGCAUACAGAUAAGACAAGAUUGAGCAUGAGUUGAUAGUUAUCAAGGCUCGGUGAUGAGAAUAUAGAGGUUCAUUAUACAAUUGUAUCUACUCUUGUGUAUGCUUGAAAUUUUUCAUAAUAAGUAAGUUAAGGAAACAAAGUGGUUCUAGGCCUGUAACAUCACUGGGACAUAUGGCAAGACAAACCCAUCUGGAAGGGUUGUACUCUCAAAUAGGCUAUAUCAAGUUAUCAUACAUAAAGCCUCUUGGAAGAUGAACUCACAAACCAAAAUUAGCAAACACUUGAAGAAUUAAUUAUUAGUGAAGGCUAGCUCUUACAUGCAUGUACACACACACACACACACACACACACACACACACACACACACACGCUCUAAGAAUCAGAGCUAUAAGAAUUCCAAAUAAUGGAAGUAAUGAGCAGAGCCUAUAAAAAGUACAUUCAAAACAAACACAUGAAGGAAGGAACUGAAAACAUAAAGAACAGGACAGUUUUUAAAGCACCAGGGAUAUGUGAAAAUAACAUCAGUAACAACAUCAGUGAGUUCUAGAAUGAAAAAUUAAAAUUGCUGGCAGUAAAAACUCAAAGGACAAGUAAAAGGCAGAUUAAACCUAAAUGAAGAAGGGAAAAGUGAACCAGAAAAUCUGAGAAAAUAACCCAAGAUACAGCACAGAGAGAUAAAGAGAGAUGAAACAUACUAGACAGGAUAAGAAAUAUGGAGGGAGAAUAAGAAGAUUCUAAAUAUACAUCUGACAGCAAUUCCAGGCAAAGGGAACAAACUUAAUUUUAAAAUUGAGUAUAGAACCCUAAACCCCAAAAUGAGAGAAUCCACAUUUUUCCCAAGCAUUCAAGAACUGUUUAUGAAGAUUGGUCACAAAAUAAGUCUAAUCAAAUAUCAAAUAAUUGAUAUGAAAAACACAUGAACUGAGCACAAAGCAACUAAAGUGAACUCAAUAAUCAAAAGACCAGAUAAAAGACAUUAGAGAAGACUCAAAUAAAUGGUGAGAUCAUCUUUGGUCAUGUAUAGAAAGUACAAAUCCCAGGAAAUUACCAAAAGUAUUUUUCUUGGAACUUGAAAAGCCUAUUCUAAAGUGUAUAUGCAAGAGAAAAUGGCUAAGAUUCACUGAGAAAAUUUUGAAGAAGAAUAAAAUGAAGGAGGGUGGGUUGGGGGUGGGCUGCUUAUCCAUCAUCUUUAUAACAAGAUGCAUUAUAGCAUCAUUUUAAUUUAGACAAUGGUAUUGGCAUAGUGAUAGCCAAAUAAAACAAUAGAACUAAGGAAAAUCACAAAGCAAAUCUAAUAUGGAAACUUGACAGAUGAUAAAUGGGUGUAACAGAUCACUAUGAAAGGGACCGAUUAUUUAUUAAACGGUGCUAAAACAAUUAUCAAUCCAUGUGAGAAAAAAUGUAUGGACCCUUCACAUCAUUGCAAAAAGAAACCACUUAUAAUAAAGAUAUGAAUACCCAAAAGCAAACCUUUAACAUUUUUAGAAAAUGGUAUAGAAAAAUAUUUUUAUGGCCUUGGAGUAGGGAAAAAUUUCUUUAAACUACAUCAAAUCCAUAAAAAAAAGAACUGAUAAAUAUAAAUAUAUGAAGAUUAAAUCUUUUUUCAUAACAAAACACCAUAAAUAAAAGAUAUGAUACCAACCAGAAAAAGAUAUUUGUAGUACCUAAAACCAUAAAGAUUAAGUAACAAAAGUAACAAAUCCUAUAAAUAAAUAAGAAACGAACAACCCAUAGAAAAUAUUUUUUGAAUAAAUAAAUGAUAGAACACAAAAUAAAAUGGCCAAUCAACAUAAAAUAUGUUCAAUUCCAGUAGCAACACCAAAAUGCAAAUUAAAACAAGAUACCAUUGCACACAAAUAAGAUAGGUAAAGAACUCUGAUUUACCACUGGUGGAGGUGAGGUGUAAGUUAGUCCAAUUUGGAUUUGUGGUAGUGACUUGGCAAUAGCUAGUAAUUUGACGAUGUCUAUAUCUUAUGACCCAACAAUUUGACUUCUAGGAAUAUGCCUUAACAAGACUUUAUGUGCACAGGGAGUUAUAGACAAGAAUAUCCACUGUAACACCGUAAAUGCAAAAUAAAAAAUCAUUUUUGAAAACAAAUUUUCUUCAACAAGAGAAUGAAUUAACUGUUAUAUAUCCCCCCCCCCCACCACCACCACUUUCUUUUGAGACAGGGUCUUGCUCUGUUGCCCAGGCUGAAGUGCGGUGGUGCGAUCAUGGCUCACCACUGUCUCAACCUCCCAGGUUCAAAUGAUCCUCCCACCUCAGCCUCCUGAGUAGCUGGAACAACAGGCAUCUGCCACCACACCCAGCUAAUUUCUCUACAAAAAGUAUUUUUUGUAGAGACGGGGUUUUGCCAUGUUGCCCAGGCUUGAACUCCUAGGCUCAAGCAAUCCUCCCGCCUUGGCCUCCCAAAGUGCUGGGAUUACAGGUGUGAGCCACUGUACCUGGCCAAUGUUGUAUAUUCCUAACAGUGAAAUUCAGUAUAGCAAACAUGAAUGAAUGAUAUCUGUGUACUAUUAUAAAUAAAUCUCAAAAACGAUGUUGAGCAGAAAUGAUAUGAUACCAUCUGUAUAAAAAUUAAAAUAUGACAUGUUGGUUAUGGAUAUAUACAAAUUUUCAAAGUAUGAAAACAGGCUUAUGCAUAAAAAAUACCAAAUUCAGGAUAGUACAUAUCUCUGGGGAAGAUGGGAGGGGUAGGGGAAUUUGAUUAAGAAAUGAAACAUGGGAGACUUCAAUACAAUGUAAUGUUUCCUUUCUUAAAAAAUAAUAAAAAAGCAAUUAUUACAAAAUACUAAAAUUUAGCAAAGCUAGGAAUGGAUAAGUGGGCAUUUUUUUCUAUGUUAUUAUGCAUUAUUUUCUAUGUUAUUAUGCAAUUGAAAUGUUUAUAAUUUUAAAAAGCAUAGAAUUGCACAGAAUUACUGACAUUUGUUCAAAUUCACAUAGAAAUGAAAAUUUAAAAAUCAUUACCAAAUAUUUUUUGGAAAAUGAUUCUACAUUAGUAGAGCCAGAAUUCUACCCUUACUCCAAAGCUGGAGUCAUUCCUCAAAUUUCAGACCCCCUCUCCUUUCUUUUUCUGAUCUUACCCUGAGGGUUCAUCAUGUUCUUCUCUGCGCUAGCACGGUACAUUGUUUAAGGCACCACCUUGGCAUUUUGUUUUUAAAACUAAAUUGCAGUUAGUUGUACCUGUGUUUCCUCACCCAGAGACUAAGCUCUUGGGGGCACCAUACCUGGUAUAUGAAAAUACAGAGGGAGAGUGGCUAGGGUGUGGCUUCUACUCCUAACUAACUCUUGUGAUGACUUACCAAAAACUAAUCACCAAGUUCUAUAAAUACUUAUUCUUGCAAAAUAAUCAAUUUCCAAAGAAUGUAAGAGAAUCAAAGAUUGUGUUCCAGCCUUUCUCAUGAAUCAACAGGAGGGGCAGAAUUGUUACAAACAGUAUUUGUGGGAAGAAAUAAACAACCUAUAGUUUAUUUGUUUCACUUGGGGAUUUUCAAGCCCUCAGAAGAGGGAAAGGAAUCUUGCUGAUGUGGAUUGAGCCUACUCCGGUGGUAUAGUCAUGGGCUGGAUUUCAUUACUUAGCCAUAAUUAAGUCAGUUCUCAAAUUAGGUCCCAUUCUAGAAAUGACUGCAGAGAUAAUUCUAUAUUAAACUCCUGGGUUCAUAUAUGUUGAAUAGUACAAUAAAUAUAAACAUAUUAAAUAGCACAGUGCAUAGAAAUUAUACAGUAAAUCAAUAUAAAUUGAAUUAUGUAACAUUGGAAUGGGAUUGUAAAUGAGAGAACCAUCUUGUUCAACCUUUAAAAAUAUUAUCAAGUGGCUUUUCUAAUUGAGAGUACUUUAUGAAAAACAGUAUGAGGGAACAUAAAGUAAUAUAUAUUAUAAUAUUACUUCUCCUUUGAAAGUGUUUUGUCCUUUUCAACAUGAGGAGGUCAGUGUCCCCAAGCAGCCUGCAGCCUCUCCUACAUUUCCCCCUCGCCUCCCAUGGCAACACGGGUUAGCCAGACACUGAGCUUUUUGUGAUGUGUGUGUGAGGACAGAGAGAAGGGGAGCAAAGCUUCAGGGAGGUCUUGAGGUGGAAAAAUUUGUGACGCACACGAUUUGGUGACUGAAGAAGAAUUCUUUCUUGAGGGUUCUAUAACACAAUAGUUACGGUCACCCUAUGUGCAUUUAAAAAUUCCUAGUUGGUCUCAAGCCCUUAAUGCACACCGAAGCCCUUUAAGAGGCUUCUCAAACUACUUGUUCAUGGAAAGAUUAUGAGACAAAGCCAACCUGUGUGGGUUUGGUCCUUCUGUUUCAGAACCUGACUACCAAAGAGCCUGGGAGAAGUACAUAAACUUAUUGAACAUGUAACUCAUAAACUAAAAGAUUCAAACUCUGUACACAGAAUUCUGUAUGCGGUCAUGAAGAAAUCCCUUCUCAUUUAUGAUCAUACAUUUGCCUUAGGGAGUCCGAGUUUGCCCUCUUCACUGCCUUGGGUGCCCCACUAUCUUCCUGAGGUAGGCACAGUCCUCCUGCAAGUUUCUCCCUGAGAGAAGAGCACCUCCAACCUCCAACAGAAUUGAUGAGGACUGAAAUGCUGUUGCCCUUGUCUUAGAAAAUGCCUCCUUCAUAGCUUUCCUGGCAUAGCUAAAUGUGAGAUAGGGCUAAGCCUGUGAGAUCAGGCUAAUGGCCUGAUAUGCAUGCCACACCUGAUACUUUAGAAGGAAGCCAGCCAAGGAAGUGUUUUUUCCCCCACUUAGUAAUAAAGCUAAAAUUCUCUCGCUCGUCAAAGUCUAGUUAACACAUUAGCAGCCCCCUCCCCCUUUUCUGGUCUCCUGUCAUUAUCUUCCAUACAAGAGAGAGGGCUUGAUAAUAACAUAUCUUAAAGGGGUUUUUAAUUGCUCCUUACAGUGAAUGCUGAAUCUAACGCUUUAAAAACAACUGAGUAGAAUGCCACUUAAAAGCGCUUCCUCCAGGUUUCUCACCACCUCUCUCAGUACCACGGCACUCCCAGCCAGGGGAGAGUUGCUCAUUUCUGCAAAGAUUAGAAGCAGGUCCAACAGAACUUCUUCAGCAGAAUCUGAGAAUGCUCAUUUGUGAACAAACUGUCUGCUUUCCAACGUCCCGUCACUUACUGGACUUUUGCCAGCCCCAGGAAACACCAUAAUGAAACACUCACAUUUAUGAAAUUCACAAUUAGGGACCGUGGCUCUAGCAACAUUAGCUCAGAGAGCAUCAACUUUAAAUAUGCUCAAAAAUCAAACUGGAGAGCUUACAGUAUCCCAUCGUGGCCAUCCCUUUUCGUUUUGGAACUGAGAUUGGACCAAUUGUUAUGAAAGGCUGCAUGUUUUAGUCUUCCCUGGUCUUUCCCUCUUGGGUGGCUUGGGUUUGUGCAAUACAGUACUUAGUGAAGGAAAAGCAGAGCCCAGCUCAGGACUUCUUAAGUGAGGGAACAGAAUCCAAUGAGAAGCCCUUAAAUGUGUGUCAAAAUGAAGAUCUACCAAAGAGUGAAGGCACCUACUAAAGGCUAUUACCUCAUAAGGCUCAAAGGGCGGGUGGGGGGUGCCCACAGUAUGCAAUCACCACCCCCCACAGGACAGCAGGCUUGGUCAAUGGCUGAACAUAUAAGCAUUCCCCAAUGGUACCACUCAGCCAGCCACCUUUGCAUCAGAAGCCAAAGUAUCCUUGAGCUACAUCUUGACAUCAGGAUACUCCCUGGAGCAUAAAGAAAUGCAGGAAUUUACAGCGUGGAGGUUCCUAAGCCUUAAAGAGUUAAUGCAGCAAAGGAAAUGCCUAAGUUAACCUUAGAAUUGUAUUCACUAGCUAGAUUUACUUGAUUUUAUUUUUACAGAAAUUUGACAAAAGAAGCAAUCUGUAAAUGCAAUGAAAACAGCUUCCUCCAUAUGUCUCACUACUGGCAUGAGCACGGAGCCGCGCCACCCCAUCGUACCUCCGUGUGUCAGAUUACGGGCUCAGAAUACCCCUCGGAAACACUCAGACUUCUAGCUGUUCCAAGAAAGCCGUAGGGCUUUCAAUAAUAAGCUGUAAAACGAGCUUAAGAGUCACUGAGGUUGCUGUGCAAAUGUAUAACCCUCACCGGAAAUGCUAUGGACUGAAUUGUGUCCCCGUAAGUCAUAUGUUGAAGCUGUAACCUCAAAAGUAACUAUAUUUGGAGAUAGGGCUUUUAGGAGGUAAUUAAGGUUAAAUAAGAUCCUAAGCAUGGGGUCCUAAUCCAACAGGACUGGAGGAUUCAUGAGAAGAGGAAGAGAAAGAGAUCUCUUCUUCUCUUCACAUGCAUGAACUGAGAAAAGACCAUGUGAGCACACAGCAAGAAGGCAGCCGCCUGCAAGCCAGGAAGAGAACCCUCCCUAGCCCCUGACCAUGUUGACACCCUGAUCUUGGACUUCCCGUCUCCAGAACUGUGAGAAAAUGAAUGUUUGCUGUUUAAGUCACCCAGUCUACGGUAUUUUGUUAUAGCAGCCUGAGCCGACUAAGACAGAAAGAAAAAUGUAUUUUAGUUAAUGCCAUAUGUGUAGGUGUACACAUAUGAAUUUUAAAAUUAACCAGGGUGAUGGAGUGAGCUGCUUCACUCAGGCAUCUGACAGUUACUCUUGCCAAGUUUUAUCUCAAUACACAGAGAUCUGAGACUGCAUCCAAAGCAUCUGAAAGAGGGUGUGCCUAUGGAAUAGGUUUUUAUAUAGCUUAUGCUGUAAAGCCUGUUCCUAGCAUCUAUUUUUUUAAAAGAAGUUCACUGUAAGCUUAUGAACUCAUCGUGAUAAACCUAGACUUGAACAUUUACAGCAAAUAAUAACUGGAAGGUUAAACUAUGACAUCAUGAGGUCCCAUCCAGCUCUGGAUUUUGAUGGACAUUUUUUGACCAGUACUUCCUUAGUUUGCCAGGAUGGAAGACCUAAAAAUGAACUGCAUUUUGCAGUGAAUUAUACCUAAUUAAAGUUUAAUGACUAGAUUACAUUCCUGUCUGAUAUGGUUUGAUUCUGUGUCCCCACCCAAAUCUCUCUUGAAUUGUAAUCCCCAUGUGUUGAGGGGGAAACCUGGUGGAAGGUGGUUUGAUCAUGGGGGUGGUUCCCCCUAUGCUCUUCUCAUGAGAAGAUGAGAUAGUGAGUUCUCAUGAGAUCUGAUGGCUUAUAAGUGGCAGUUUCCCCAGUGCUCUCUCUCCUGCAGCCCUGUAAGAUAUGAUUUGCUUCUCCUUUGCCUUCUGCCAUGAUUGUAAGUUUCCUGAGGCCUCCUCAGCCAUGUGGAAUUGUCAGUCAAUUAAACCUCCUUUCUUUAUAAAUUAGUCUCACGUAGUAUCUUUAUAGCAGCGUGAGAACAGACUAAUACACUAUCCUACAGUAACAUAGAAACAUAUAUGCUGAACUCUUCAACAUAACCUUAUGUGUUUCCUUUUAAUGUUAUCAUUAACCCUUCAGGCCACAAUACAACCAAGUGGAUCCAGUGAAAGACCAUCCUUAAUAGAAAUGUCUCAGAUACAGCUAAAGGCAAGAGCAAAUCUAGAAAACACCCAUUUUCUCAGACCACACUGAAAGAGGGCAUCAUAUUGGCAAUCUAUCUAUUCAACUGUUAGACCAAACAUUAGAGAAACCUAUGCCAUUGUUUUCUUCGUAAAAGGUUAAGAGUGGUAAUAUCAACAUCUAGCAUUCAGCCACAUCAAUCCUAAUAUGUCCUAUUCUAGUUAGGAGAGUGCAUAUAAGUCAAAUGACCUUCCUGAGUCCUGCCAUUUUAUAACAUGAAAUAAAAAAUCUAAGUAAUGUUAAGUUAAUAUGUUCUGAAUUCUUCUAGAAUCCAGAAGCCAAAAUGGAGUAAUAACACAUUCCUUACUAUUACCUCAUAGUUGUCUUAAAUGUCAUAAAUAAAUUUGUCUGUGUUUGAAUAUACAACUACAGUCAGCCCUCUGUAUCAAUGGGUUCCAUAUCCAUGAAUAUAAUCAACCACGGAUCAAAAACAUUUGGAUAAAAAAAGGAUGGUUGUGUCUGUACUGAACAUGUACAGACCUUUUCAUGUCAUUAUUCCCUCAAUAAUAUAGUGUGUCAACUGUUUACAUAGUAUUUAUAUUGUAUUAGGUAUUAUAAGUAAUCUAGAAAUGAUUUAAAGCAUAUGUAGGAUGUGCAUAAAUUAUAUGCAAAUACUACACCAUUUUAUAGCAGGGACUUGAGUAUCUGUGAAUUUUGGUAUCAGGAGUCCCAGUACCAAUCCCCUGCAGAUACUAAGGGAUGACUGAAUAUAGCUUAAAAAUGGGCAUAUGCAUGUUCAAACAGAAGCUCUGAUAAUGGCAAGUAUGGAAUAAAUAGAUUUCAGUUCAACAUUUAUUAAUUA